AUUGAACGCUGGCGGCAUGCUUUACACAUGCAAGUCGAAUGGUAACAGGCCUUCGGGUGCUGACGAGUGGCGAACGGGUGAGUAAUGCAUCGGAACGUGCCCAGAGGUGGGGGAUAACGCAGCGAAAGCUGUGCUAAUACCGCAUGUGAUCUGAGGAUGAAAGCGGGGGACCAGGCAGCAAUGUUUGGCCUCGCGCCUUUGGAGCGGCCGAUGUCAGAUUAGGUAGUUGGUGGGGUAAAGGCCUACCAAGCCGACGAUCUGUAGCUGGUCUGAGAGGACGACCAGCCACACUGUGACUGAGACACGGCCCAGACUCCUACGGGAGGCAGCAGUGGGGAAUUUUGGACAAUGGGCGAAAGCCUGAUCCAGCAAUGCCGCGUGCGGGAAGAAGGCCUUCGGGUUGUAAACCGCUUUUGUACGGAACGAAAAGGAUCUGGCUAAUACCUGGGGCUGAUGACGGUACCGGAAGAAUAAGCACCGGCUAACUACGUG
rnacentral:rRNA from 1 species